rnacentral:tRNA from 1 species
GGGCUGGGGCUCAAUGGCAGAGUGCUUGCCUCUCAUGUGUGAGGCACUGAGUUCAAUCCUCAGCACUACA